rnacentral:rRNA from 1 species
GGUCAAGCUACAAAGGGCGCAUGGUGAAUGCCUUGGCAUCAGGAGCCGAUGAAGGACGUGAUAAGCUGCGAUAAGCUUCGGGUAGGCGCACAUAGCCAGUGAUCCGAAGAUUUCCGAAUGAGGGAACUCACAUGGGAAACCCCAUGUAUCCUGUAGUGAAUAAAUAGCUGCAGGAAGGUAAACCUAGGGAACUGAAACAUCUAAGUACCUAGAGGAAGAGAAAGAAAAAUCGAUUUUCUUAGUAGCGGCGAGCGAAAGGGAAAGAGCCCAAACCAGAGAUUUAUCUCUGGGGUUGCGGACA